GGCAGCAGUAGGGAAUCUUCCGCAAUGGGCGAAAGCCUGACGGAGCAAUGCCGCGUGAGUGAAGAAGGCCUUCGGGUCGUAAAACUCUGUUAUAAGAGAAGAACAAAUUGUAGAGUAACUGCUACAGUCUUGACGGUAUCUUAUCAGAAAGCCACGGCUAACUACGUGCCAGCAGCCGCGGUAAUACGUAGGUGGCAAGCGUUGUCCGGAUUUAUUGGGCGUAAAGGGAGCGCAGGUGGUUUCUUAAGUCUGAUGUGAAAGCCCACGGCUUAACCGUGGAGGGUCAUUGGAAACUGGGAAACUUGAGUACAGAAGAGGAUGUGGAACUCCAUGUGUAGCGGUGAAUGCGUAGAUAUAUGGAAGAACACCAGUGGCGAAGCGACAUUCUGGUCUGUUACUGACACUGAG
rnacentral:rRNA from 1 species